rnacentral:rRNA from 1 species
CGGCCGCGUCGACGGCGGAGAGAUCAGAUCAGUAUCCAACUUGUAUUUUUUUUAGAAGUGGUUGGAAUUCGCGGCCGCGUCGACCUGAGGUCCGCGCAUCUGCUAGGAUGCUGGCGUAAUGGCUGUAAGCGGCCCGUCUUGGAACACGGACCAAGGAGUCUAACAUCUAUGCGAGUGUUUGGGUGUCAAGCCCGAGCGCGUAAUGAAAGUGAACGGAGGUGGGAACCUUUCGGGGUGCACCAUCGACCGAUCCUGAUGUCUUCGGAUGGAUUUGAGUAAGAGCAUAGCUGUUGGGACCCGAAAGAUGGUGAACUAUGCUUGAAUAGGGUGAAGCCAGAGGAAACUCUGGUGGAGGCUCGCAGCGGUUCUGACGUGCAAAUCGAUCGUCAAAUUUGGGCAGUAGGGGACGAAAGACUAAUACGAACUAUCUAGUAGCUGGUUCCUCGCCGUAAGUUUCCCUCAGGAUAGCAGUUAACGUUUUACUAGUUUAUGAGUAAAGCGAAUGAUUAGAGGCCGUGGGGUUAGAAACAACCUUCUACCUAUUUACC